rnacentral:lncRNA from 1 species
ACUGGGAUGGAUGCAAGAAGAGGAAAGAGUUUGAUUAGGACAAUGGAGAAGAUGAAGUAAAGGAACAACACAAACCCAGAGCUGAAAGGGUAGAGUGUGGGGCUCUUCCAGAAGCAGAGGAGGUCUGAAUGACACAUCUCUAAGUUCAAAAUCGAAGCUCAGAGAUGUAGACAAUGAGCUAAGGAAUCUGUUACACCGAUAUUUUUCAGAAUCAUAGACUUAUCUCAUAUUAAUCAUUUUAUUGUUGCUAUUAAGCUGUACAUAAACCUUGAAUUUUCAGUUGAAAAGGAUUUCUAUUCAGCUCAGACCUCAAAGAGCUUUUAUUUCUCCUCCACAUAUAGCAGGUGAGGGAUUUCCUGUUCAGGGCUGGAGAAUAAGUGACACAGCUCUUUCUUUUCUCUUCUUUUCUUCUUUUCUUUUCAAGAAGUUGAACAGGUUCCAUAAGAAGGUAGUGAACAUAGUGAUACCUGAUUUGUAUGAUUUUACUUGAAUGCAGAAAUCAGAGUCAUAAUUUUCACAGUGCAACCACCUCAUUUUACAGAAGAGAGAAUUUCGAUUCUCUACUCCAAAUUCCACGUAUAGCGACGUUCAAGGAAUGUGGGGCAGAGGGCUCCAUGGCUCAUCCCCAGAGAGAUGAGUCAUCCCCAUAGUCAUCCACUACGAUGACCAUUGUCUAACAACAUGAGUUUGAGUGCCAGGCGUGCCAAUGGAUGAGGACACUGAGAUAUUACCAGUAUUGUUUCCUGGGCUUCUAACUUCUGGCUUCUCCCCUGCAAAAUGAUAACAAGGGGUGAGGCAGCAACUCAGAGACUGAAAUCAGGAGUUCACUUCCAGGCUCCGCUUUCAAGCAUUUUGUGCCAAAUCUCCAGAGAGUCCUUCCCCCUUGAAAUCAUUUGCACAGCACUUCAUGUGUGCAUUCCUCAAGGGAGAUGGGCAGAUUCUUAUAUUGCCAGUCUCUUCCAGCACUGUCCAACAGGAAUAAAUGUGAGUCAAUUCAGGCCACAACUUUAAAAUGUUUUGGCUUUUUGGAGAGGAGGGAGGGAGUGGGAUGAACUGGGAGUUUGGGGUUCAUAGAUGCAAAGUAUAACAUUUAGAAUGGGUAGGCAAUGAUAUCCUGCUGUACAGCACAGGGAACUCUAUCCAAUCACUUGUGAUAGAACAUGAUGGAAGACAGUAUGAGAAGAAAGUAUAUGUGUGUGUAUGGCUGCAUCUCUUUGCUAUACAGCAGAAUUUGACAGAACAUUGUAAAUCAACUAUAAUUAAAAAAAAAUUAGGAAUUCCCACUGUAGAUCAGCACAAACAAACCUGACUGGUAUCCUUGAGGAUACAGGUUUGAUCCAUGGCCUUGCACAGUGGGUUAAGAUUCCAGUGUUGCUGCAAGCUGUGGUAUAGGUCAUUGAUGUAGCUCAAGUCUGGCAUUGCUGUGGCAUACACUGGCAGCUGCAGCUCCGAUUUGACCCCUAGCCUGGGAACUUCCAUAUGCCAUGGGUAUGAUCCUAAAAUGAAUAAAGAUAAUUUAAAAAUUAAAUGUUUUGUGAGUUCCUGUCAUGGCUCAGUGGUUAAUGAAUCUGACUAGGAACCAUGAGGUUGCGGGUUUGAUCCUUGGCCUUGCUCAGUGGGUUAAGGAUCUGGCAUUCCUGUGAGCUGUGGUGUAGAUCGCAGACUCGGCUUGGAUCCCACGUUGCUGUGGCUCUGGCGUAGGCCGGAGGCUACAGUUCCAAUUUGACCCCUAGCCUGGGAACCUCCACACGCCGCGGAAGGGGCCCUAAAAAAGGCAAAAAGACAGUAAAAAAACCUAAAUGUUUUGGCUUCUGCAUUAAAAAGGGGGACAAAGACAAUUAAAAUUAAUAUUAGGACUAUUUUUACUUAGUCCAAGAUAGCCAUAAUACCAUUGCAACAAGCAGUCAAUAUGAAAAUAGUUAAGGAGAUAGUCCUUUUUUUUUUUUUUGCUUCUGUCUUCAAAAUAUAGUUUGUGUUGUAUACAUACAGGCUCGUCUCAGCUUCAACUCUCGGACUAACCACAUGUCAAGGGCUCAAUAGCCACAUGUGACUAAUGGCUGGUAGAUUGAGCAGCUCAGAUUCUCCUCCAAAUGCUGGAGAAAUGCUGAGCAGGAUAUCCUUUCAAAAGGUCCCUUCGGGAGUUCCCAUUGUUUCUUGGUGGUUAACGAAUCCGACUAGGGACCAUGAGGUUGCAGGUUCAAUCCCUGGCCCUGUGGUGUAGGUCGCAGACGCGGCUCGGAUCCCACAUUGCUGUGGCUCUGGCGUAGGCCGGAGGCUACAUCUCAGAUUAGACCCCUAGCCUGGGAACUUCCACAUGCCUCAGGAGUGGCCCUAGAAAAG